AGCGAACGCUGGCGGCAGGCCUAACACAUGCAAGUCGAACGAACUCUUCGGAGUUAGUGGCGGACGGGUGAGUAACACGUGGGAACGUGCCUUUAGGUUCGGAAUAACUCAGGGAAACUCGUGCUAAUACCGAAUGUGCCCUUCGGGGGAAAGAUUUAUCGCCUUUAGAGCGGCCCGCGUCUGAUCAGCUAGUUGGUGAGGUAAAGGCUCACCAAGGCGACGAUCAGUAGCUGGUCUGAGAGGAUGAUCAGCCACGUUGGGACUGAGACGCGGCGCAAACUCCUGCGGGAGGCAGCAGUGGGGAAUCUUGCGCAAUGGGCGAAAGCCUGACGCAGCCAUGCCGCGUGAAUGAUGAAGGUCUUAGGAUUGUAAAAUUCUUUCACCGGGGACGAUAAUGACGGUACCCGGAGAAGAAGCCCCGGCUAACUUCGUGCCAGCCGCCGCGGUAA
rnacentral:rRNA from 1 species